CCGAGCCAAGGGCAGUAUUGGCCCUCUCCGUUCAAUGAAGCGGUUGCUUUUUUGUGCCGGCAAUGAGUUGGGCCGGGGCGGUGGCGGCUCCCUGCCUGUGGCAGCUGCGCCCGGGUGCCCAGCGGUCGCUCUCAGCUUAUGGAAGAAGAAUCAUUGUCAGAUUUCGCAGUUCAGGAAUGACCUUAGACAAUAUCAAUCGGGCAGCUGUGGAUCGAAUAAUCCGGGUGGAUCAUGCAGGCGAAUAUGGAGCAAACUGCAUCUAUACCGGGCAGAUGGCCGUCCUGGGUCGGACAAGCGUCGGGCCAGUCAUUCAGAAAAUGUGGGAUCAAGAAAAGGACCAUUUGAAAAAGUUCAGUGAGUUGAUGGUUACGUUCAGGGUCCGGCCGACAGUUCUGAUGCCCUUUUGGAACGUGCUGGGGUUUGCGCUGGGGCCAGGGACUGCCUUGCUCUGGAAGGAAGGUGCAAUGGCCUGCACCGUGGCAGUGGAAGAGAGCAUAGCACAUCACUACAACAAUCAGAUCAGGAAGCUGAUGGAGGAGGACCCUGAAAAAUACGAGGAACUUCUUCAGGUGAUAAAGAAAUUUCGGGAUGAAGAGCUUGAGCACCAUGACACAGGCCUUGAACAUGAUGCCGAAUUGGCUCCAGCCUAUGCCGUCCUGAAGAGCGUUAUCCAAGCUGAAUGCAAAGUGGCCAUAUAUUUAUCAGAAAGAUUGUAAAGUGUGUCCAGUUAUGCCUGUCUAUAAAAGAUGAUAGUAAUUUGCCAAGUGACAUUUGCAGAGAAACAAGUGUAUAGUUAUCAUUGUACUUUUGUACAAUGUGAAUUUUGUUAAUUAAAUUAUAAGGU